CAGUGUUACAUCUCUUUUAGAAUUUGUCUAGCAGCUUUUCCAG
ensembl:snRNA U7 U7 small nuclear RNA